UGAAUACGAGAUGCUACGGCGUCGAAGCAGUCUAUGUCAUACUUCCAAGAAAAGCUUGCACUGUCAUAAACAAAUAAUGCCUGUACCAUAACCGACACAGGUGGGUAGGUAGAGUAUACUAAGGGGCGCGAGAUAACUCUCUCUAAGGAACUCGGCAAAAUGACUCCGUAACUUCGGGAGAAGGAGUGCCUUAUUUAUAAGGUUGCAAUAACAAGAUCCAAGCAACUGUUUACCAAAAACACAGGUCUCCGCUAAGUCGUAAGUCGAUGUAUGGGGGCUGACGCCUGCCCAGUGCCAGAAGGUUAAAGAAGUUGGUUAGCAUCCGCGAAGCUGAUAACUGAAGCCCUGGUGAACGGCGGCCGUAACGAUAACGGUCCUAAGGUAGCGAAAUUCCUUGUCGGGUAAGUUCCGACCCGCACGAAAGGCGUAAUGAUUUGGAUACUGUCUCGGAGAGGGGCUCGGUGAAAUAGACUUGUCUGUGAAGAUGCGGACUACCUGCACCAGGACAGAAAGACCCUAUGAAGCUUUACUGUAACCUGAAAUUGAAAUUGGACUUUACUUGCGCAGUAUAGGUGGGAGGCGUUGAGAAUAUUCUUGCGGGAUUAUUGGAGCCAUCAGUGAGAUACCACUCUUGUAAUGUUAGAUUUCUAACUUUGUAUCAUUAUCUGGUCAAAGAACAGUUUCAGGCGGGCAGUUUGACUGGGGCGGUCGCCUCCUAAACGGUAACGGAGGCGCACAAAGGUUUCCUCUGAACGGGUAGAAAUCGUAUCUAGAGUGUAAAGGCAUAAGGAAGCUUGACUGUGAGACCUACAAGUCGAGCAGGGACGAAAGUCGGUCUUAGUGAUCUGACGGUGCUGAGUGGAAAGGCCGUCACUCAACGGAUGAAAGUUACUCUAGGAUAACAGGCUGAUCUCCCCCAAGAGUUCACAUCGACGGGGAGGUUUGGCACCUCGAUGUCGGCUCAUCGCAUCCUGGGGCGGUAGUACGUCCCAAGGGUUGGGCUGUUCGCCCAUGAAAGCGGUACGCGAGCUGGGUUCAGAACGUCGUGAGACAGUUCGGUCCACAUCCGGUGUAGGCGUUAGAAUAUUGAGAGGAGCCUUCUUUAGUACGAGAGGACCGAGAAGGACAUACCUCUGGUGUACCAGUUAUCGUGCCAACGGUAAACGCUGGGUAGCUAUGUGUGGAGUGGAUAACCGCUGAAAGCAUCUAAGUGGGAAGCCCACCUCAAGAUAAGUA
rnacentral:rRNA from 1 species